ensembl:lncRNA
AAUGACUGUGAAGUGAAAAAGGCUUUGGCAGACGAGUCCCCAAUUGCCCCAGUUUUCUCAGACUCAAAUAGGUUAUUGUCCUUCUUUCCUCUCUGAUGCUAACAAGUUUCCUUUAUAAAAACCCUUCCCCCUUGGAUGCUGGGGCACUGACUCUAGAGCUUGCAAGACCAGAAAAGUGGUCUCCUGCUGAAUCACAAUCAGCCUUCUACAAACAGUUGCUUAUAUAGGGAAGGAGCAGGGGAACUGGAGACUGGAAGAUCUGAGAGCUGAGUGAAGUACCCUGAAGGAACACUCCUUGGCCCAAGGUGAUAGAAAGGGACGAUGAUUGCUGCAGGCUCUAGAAGCAUACAAUAUUCACAUUCACUGGUACCAUUUGUAGGAGUUCAGAGCAACCAUGGUCAGGAGUCCCUACAGAAUGGAAACACCAUUGAUCUUAGCACUGAGUAAUCCCACUGCCUCAGGAGCAAGGGAGUGGGAUUACUCCUUCAGCAGUGAGUUCUGGUCAUUGUGGUAGCCACCAAAAUAUAUAUUUGUGAGGAACAGAAGGGCAGCAAAUAUCUACUUAAGGCUGUAGCCACUGUGUAACUGCCCAAACCUCUCUUGGGUUUUGCCUCAUCUUUCUUCAGGAUUUCCUUUGUCAAUGACACAGGACUGCUAAUUCUUCCCAUGUCAGAAGAGGACAGUGAGGAGAGGACCUGAACAGCCUGCAGAAAGGGACCAAUCAGAGCUCUCACUCACUGACUUUUCACUUGCUUGCCCAGGCAGAGCGGUGUCUGGGACUGAGCAAAGGAUACACUGCACAGCAGUGAAGGAGCCAGCAUGUCAGUCCAGUCACUGAUUGCCAAACCCUCCUUCCAGAAAGGUGACUGUGUGGAUCUCCUGAAGGAAAAAGUUCAACACUUGCAGUGGAGAAGUAUGGCCCAAAGGGAUCAAAAUAAGCUACAGCAGCUGCUUCUGCAGCCAGGCCAGAAGGGAACAGAGCAGCAUGCUCGAGUUGCUGGGUGAACCCAGGGUGAUCACAACUGCAGGAAGGUGGUAGAUCCUCAGAGACAGAGACUGCAGCUCUGCAGCAGAAAGGAGGAGGACCCUUCCCAUUCCUGCCCAGCUGGUGACUAGUCUGCUUUCUAGACAGCUGACAAGGUAAGAGGAAAUAAGAGCUCUGGGACAAAUGCCAACUUGCCUCUAGACAGAAGGUUAAAGGUUAUUUAUGUGAUUAACACAAAAUCUAAUUUAGGGCACUUCAUGUUCACAGGGCCGUUCAAGGAGUGCCAGGACUGACUUGAAAACUGAUGUGGCAUUCCUGAAAGGAAAGAACAUUAGUGCCAGUUUUACUUGAAACAUAAUUGGAUUUGCAGCAACAACCUUCCAGAAAGCAAUGAGACAAUCAAGGGUAUCAGGAUACUUAGUAAGUUAUCAAAUUAGCAUUAUUAAAAGUUAAUUCUAAAGUUUUAGUGCUGGGUAUCUUUGUUUUUUGUACAAGAAAAAGAUGCAGGUACCUUCCCCUCAAAACCCUGCUUGGCUUUACAGGACAAGAGCUUCAAAAAGGAUGAAAUAUAAAAGGGCCUAAACCCAGCACAAGCAGAUUGGUCCUGUGUUAAAAGCUGAAUAGUGUAGUAUAAGC